rnacentral:rRNA from 1 species
AUUGAACGCUGGCGGCAUGCUUUACACAUGCAAGUCGAACGGUAACAGGCCGCAAGGUGCUGACGAGUGGCGAACGGGUGAGUAAUGCAUCGGAACGUGCCCAGUCGUGGGGGAUAACGCAGCGAAAGCUGCGCUAAUACCGCAUACGAUCUAUGGAUGAAAGCGGGGGACCGUAAGGCCUCGCGCGAUUGGAGCGGCCGAUGUCAGAUUAGGUAGUUGGUGGGGUAAAGGCUCACCAAGCCAACGAUCUGUAGCUGGUCUGAGAGGACGACAAGCCACACUGGGACUGAGACACGGCCCAGACUCCUACGGGAGGCAGCAGUGGGGAAUUUUGGACAAUGGGCGCAAGCCUGAUCCAGCAAUGCCGCGUGCAGGAAGAAGGCCUUCGGGUUGUAAACUGCUUUUGUACGGAACGAAACGGCUCUGGUUAAUACCUGGGGCUAGUGACGGUACCGUAAGAAUAAGCACCGGCUAACUACGUGCCAGCCGCCGCCGUAAAAC